GGGCCCAUAGCUCAGCUGGAAGAGCCACCGGCUCAUAACCGGCAGGUCCCUGGUUCGAACCCAGGUGGGCCCA
rnacentral:tRNA from 1 species